UACGAAGGGGGCUAGCGUUGCUCGGAAUCACUGGGCGUAAAGCGCACGUAGGCGGCUUUCUAAGUCAGGGGUGAAAUCCUGGAGCUCGAACUCCAGAACUGCCUUGAUACUGGGAAGCUUGAGUCCGGAAGAGGUGAGUGGAACUGCGAGUGUAGAGGUGAAAUUCGUAGAUAUUCGGAAGAACACCAGUGGCGAAGGCGACAUACUGGUCCGUUACUGACGCUGAGGCACGAAAGCGUGGGGGAUCAAAC
rnacentral:rRNA from 1 species